rnacentral:rRNA from 1 species
UACGUAGGCAGCAAGCGUUGUUCGGAAUUACUGGGCGUAAAGAGUGUGUAGGCGGUGCUCUAAGUCUGUCGUGAAAUCUCCCGGCUUAACUGGGAGGGUGCGGCGGAAACUGGAAUGCUAGAGGGUGGGAGAGGAAAGCGGAAUUCCUGGUGUAGCGGUGAAAUGCGCAGAUAUCGGGAAGAACACCCGUGGCGAAGGCGGCACUCUGGGACGGUACUGACGCUGAGACGCGAAAGCGUGGGAGCGAACGAGG